rnacentral:rRNA from 1 species
UACGGAGGGCGCAAGCGUUGUUCGGAAUCACUGGGCGUAAAGCGCGUGUAGGCGGCCGGGCAAGUCGGAUGUGAAAUCCCGAGGCUCAACCUCGGAACUGCAUUCGAAACUGCUCGGCUAGAGUCCCGGAGAGGAUGGCAGAAUUCCCGGUGUAUGGGUGUAAUCCGUAGAUAUCGGUAGGAAUACCAGUGGCGAAGGCGGCCAUCUAGACGGUGACUGACGCUGAGACGCGAAAGCGUGGGGAGCAAACAGG